rnacentral:rRNA from 1 species
UACGAGAGGGCAAGCGUUGCUCGGAAUCACUGGGCGUAAAGGGUGCGUAGGCGGCUUGGUGGGUCUGGUGUGAAAGCCCCGGGCUCAGCCCGGGAAGGGCACUAGAAACUGCCGAGCUGGAGUGCCGGAGGGGAGAGUGGAAUUCCUGGUGUAGCGGUGAAAUGCGUAGAUAUCAGGAGGAAUACCGGUGGCGAAGGCGGCAUCCUGGACCGACAUUGACGCUGAGGAGCGAAAGCGUGGGGAGCAAACAGG